UGAGUUGUGUGAUUUGAGAUAGGGUGUGAUUUGUGAGUUUGUGUGUGAUUUGUGAGUUUGUGUGUGGUUUGAGAAGGAAAGUUGCAGGUAUUUAUAGAAAAGCGGGGCUCGCUAAUUCCUCGUAAAAUGUUGACUCGUAAAUUCCACGUAAGCUUAAUCGUCGUAAAAACUCGUAAACCUAAACUCGGGCCUUUGUAAUUCCUCGCUACUUCCUCGUACAAUAAAAAACGGGCCUUUGUAAUUCCUCGUAAAGCUAAACACAGGCCUUUGUAAUUCCUUGUAACUUUACGAGGAAAUAACGAGGAUAAGUAAUCUUAUAUAUACUCCCGAGCGCUGACUUUUUCUUUCCUCUCCACUUCCUCUCCACUUCCUUUCUAUUUCGUAGCAAUGGUAAGUCUCUCUAAUUCCUCUCUAAUUUGAUUAGUUUAGGAUAUAUUAUGUGGUUAGUAUAGGGAAUUUAGAUAGGUUUACGGGUUUUAUGUUAAUUAAUGUUGAUUAGGUGGAUAAUGUAGGGAAUUAUACUGCUGAUGUUAAUUUUAAAAAUUAAAAAAAAAUUCCAGACGAUUCGAAAGAACAGACUUACUCCCCAUUACAGAUAGAUGUUCAGUGAGCCUGGUAGUCGUUUAGACCCGUCGUCUUCUUCAGCUCCCGGUUCUUCUUCCGCUCCCGGUUCUUCGGGUCCGGAGACUGUCCCCGAGACUCAGCCUUCUCAGAGAGUCUCUCGGUUUUCUUCUUCUAGUGCACCAUCGGUUCCUCCUGUG
rnacentral:lncRNA from 1 species